AUACUGCCGUGAAUACGUUCCCGGGCCUUGUACACACCGCCCCGUCACACCAUGAGAGUUGGGAAUACCCGAAGCCUGUGAGCUAACUUUUAGAGGCAGCAGUCGAAGGUAGAAUCAAUGAUUGGGGUGAAGUCGUAACAAGGUAGC
rnacentral:rRNA from 1 species